UGAGUUUGAUCCUGGCUCAGGACGAACGCUGGCGGCGUGCUUAACACAUGCAAGUCGAACGCUGAAGCCCCAGCUUGCUGGGGUGGAUGAGUGGCGAACGGGUGAGUAACACGUGAGUAACCUGCCCAUCACUCUGGGAUAAGCGCUGGAAACGGCGUCUAAUACUGGAUACGAGCAGCGACCGCAUGGUCAGCUGCUGGAAAGACUGGUUCGGUGAUGGAUGGACUCGCGGCCUAUCAGCUUGUUGGUGAGGUAAUGGCUCACCAAGGCGACGACGGGUAGCCGGCCUGAGAGGGUGACCGGCCACACUGGGACUGAGACACGGCCCAGACUCCUACGGGAGGCAGCAGUGGGGAAUAUUGCACAAUGGGCGCAAGCCUGAUGCAGCAACGCCGCGUGAGGGAUGACGGCCUUCGGGUUGUAAACCUCUUUUAGUAGGGAAGAAGCCUUCGGGUGACGGUACCUGCAGAAAAAGCACCGGCUAACUACGUGCCAGCAGCCGCGGUAAUACGUAGGGUGCAAGCGUUGUCCGGAAUUAUUGGGCGUAAAGAGCUCGUAGGCGGCUUGUCGCGUCUGCUGUGAAAACCCGAGGCUCAACCUCGGGCCUGCAGUGGGUACGGGCAAGCUAGAGUGCGGUAGGGGAGAUUGGAAUUCCUGGUGUAGCGGUGGAAUGCGCAGAUAUCAGGAGGAACACCGAUGGCGAAGGCAGAUCUCUGGGCCGUAACUGACGCUGAGGAGCGAAAGCAUGGGGAGCGAACAGGAUUAGAUACCCUGGUAGUCCAUGCCGUAAACGUUGGGAACUAGAUGUAGGGCCUGUUCCACGGGUUCUGUGUCGUAGCUAACGCAUUAAGU
rnacentral:rRNA from 1 species